rnacentral:rRNA from 1 species
GACGAACGCUGGCGGCGUGCUUAACACAUGCAAGUCGAACGGAGUGGCGAACGGGUGAGUAACAUGUGGGUGAUCUGCCUUGUUCUUCGGGCUAAGCUUGGGUAACUGGGUCUAAUACCGGAUAGUGCAAGAUGAGCUUGCGGCCUAUCAGCUUGUUGGUGGGGUAAUGGCCUACCACGGCGUCGACGGGUAGCCGGCCUGAGAGGGUGUACGGCCACAUUGGGACUCAGAUACGGCCCAGUAUCCUACAGGAGGCAGCAGUGGGGAAUAUUGCACAAUGGGCUGAAGCCUAAUGCAGCGACGCCGGGUAGGGGAUGAAGGCCUUCGGGUUGUAGACUCCUUUCGACAGGGACGCGGUACCUGUAUAAGAAGCACCGGCUAACUACGUGCCAGCAGCCGCGGUAAUAC